rnacentral:rRNA from 1 species
UACGUAGGUCCCGAGCGUUGUCCGGAUUUAUUGGGCGUAAAGCGUGCGCAGGUGGUUUAUUAAGUCUGGUGUAAAAGGCAGUGGCUCAACCAUUGUAUGCAUUGGAAACUGGUAGACUUGAGUGCAGGAGAGGAGAGUGGAAUUCCAUGUGUAGCGGUGAAAUGCGUAGAUAUAUGGAGGAACACCGGUGGCGAAAGCGGCUCUCUGGCCUGUAACUGACACUGAGGCUCGAAAGCGUGGGGAGCAAACAGG